rnacentral:rRNA from 1 species
UACAGAGGUCUCAAGCGUUGUUCGGAUUCAUUGGGCGUAAAGGGUGCGUAGGCGGCGCGGUAAGUCGGGUGUGAAAUCUCGGGGCUUAACUCCGAAACUGCAUUCGAUACUGCCGUGCUUGAGGACUGGAGAGGAGACUGGAAUUUACGGUGUAGCGGUGAAAUGCGUAGAUAUCGUAAGGAAGACCAGUGGCGAAGGCGGGUCACUGGCCCGGUACUGACGCUGAGGCGCGAAAGCGUGGGGAGCAAACAGG